GCCCGGGUGGUGGAAUUGGUAGACACAAGGGACUUAAAAUCCCUCGGGGGAAACUCCGUGCCGGUUCGAGUCCGGCCCCGGGCACCA
rnacentral:tRNA from 1 species